rnacentral:rRNA from 1 species
UACGAAGGGGGCUAGCGUUGUUCGGAAUUACUGGGCGUAAAGGGCGCGUAGGCGGUGUGUCAAGUCAGGCGUGAAAGCCCCGGGCUCAACCUGGGAACCGCGCUUGAGACUGGCACGCUCGAGUUCGGGAGAGGAUGGUGGAAUUCCCAGUGUAGAGGUGAAAAUUCGGUAGAUAUUGGGAAGAACACCGAUGGCGAAGGCAGCCAUCUGGAC